UACAGAGGUCUCGAGCGUUAGGCGGAAUCACUGGGCUUAAAGCGUGUGUAGGCGGAUCGGUUAGUACCUUGUGAAAUCCCACAGCUUAACUGUGGAACUGCUUGGUAUACUGCCGGUCUUGAGCCAGCUAGGGGCUACCGGAACAAAUGGUGGAGCGGUGAAAUGCGUAGAUAUCAUUUGGAACGCCAAUGGUGAAAACAGGUAGCUGGGGCUGUGCUGACGCUGAGACACGAAAGCCAGGGGAGCAAACGGGAUUAGAAACCCCCGUAGUCC
rnacentral:rRNA from 1 species